CGGACUACUGGGGUUUCUAAUCCUGUUUGCUCCCCACGCUUUCGCGCCUCAGCGUCAGUAAUGGCCCAGUGUGUCGCCUUCGCCACUGGUGUUCUUCCGAAUAUCUACGAAUUUCACCUCUACACUCGGAGUUCCACACACCUCUGCCAUACUCAAGGUCGCCAGUAUCAAAGGCAAUUCCAGGGUUGAGCCCUGGGCUUUCACCUCUGACUUAACGACCCGCCUACGCGCCCUUUACGCCCAGUAAUUCCGAGCAACGCUAGCCCCCUUCGUAUUACCGCGGCUGCUGACAC
rnacentral:misc_RNA from 1 species